rnacentral:rRNA from 1 species
ACGGGGGCCCGCACAAGCUGGUGGGGCAUGUAGUUUAAUUCGAUGCAACGCGAAGAACCUUACCUGGGCUUGAAAUCGCCCGGACAGUCGUGGAAACACGAUCUUCUUCGGACCGGGUGACAGGUGCUGCAUGGCUGUCGUCAGCUCGUGUCGUGAGAUGUUGGGUUAAGUCCCGCAACGAGCGCAACCCUUGCCUUUAGUUGCCAUCCUUAAGUAGGGCACUCUAGAGGGACUGCCGGUGUUAAACCGGAGGAAGCUGGGGAUGACGUCAAGUCCUCAUGGCCCUUAUGUCCAGGGCUACACACGUGCUACAAUGGGUCGUACAAAGGGCGGCGAACCUGCAAAGGGGAGCAAAUCCCAAAAAACGGCUCUCAGUCCGGAUUGAAGUCUGCAACUCGACUUCAUGAAGCUGGAAUCGCUAGUAAUCGCGGAUCAGCAUGCCUCGCUCGAUACGUUCCCGGGCCUUGACACACCGCCCGUCACACCACGAAGCUGCUGCACCAGAGUCGCUGGCUAC